rnacentral:rRNA from 1 species
GACGAACGCUGGCGGCGUGCCUAAUACAUGCAAGUUGAGCGCUGAAGGUUGGUACUUGUACCGACUGGAUGAGCAGCGAACGGGUGAGUAACGCGUGGGGAAUCUGCCUUUGAGCGGGGGACAACAUUUGGAAACGAAUGCUAAUACCGCAUAAAAACUUUAAACACAAGUUUUAAGUUUGAAAGAUGCAAUUGCAUCACUCAAAGAUGAUCCCGCGUUGUAUUAGCUUGUUGGUGAGGUAAAGGCUCACCAAGGCGAUGAUACAUAGCCGACCUGAGAGGGUGAUCGGCCACAUUGGGACUGAGACACGGCCCAAACUCCUACGGGAGGCAGCAGUAGGGAAUCUUCGGCAAUGGACGAAAGGCUGACCGAGCAACGCCGCGUGAGUGAAGAAGGUUUUCGGAUCGUAAAACUCUGUUGGUAGAGAAGAACGUUGGUGAGAGUGGAAAGCUCAUCAAGUGACGGUAACUACCCAGAAAGGGACGGCUAACUACGUG